rnacentral:lncRNA from 1 species
AACGACCAGCACAAGGGACAAAUAAUAGCAUGGAAAACAACACUCAUCAACUCUUAACUACAACCCUUAGAGGCAUAUCAUCAUUAAUGUUGUUUGUAAAGGAGGAGCCAAGACAACAUCUCAAAAGCUUAUAGACCAUGAACACCAUCCUGUGACAAGCCUCAGAUUUCACAGGUCUGGCCUGCAACUUUACAAUAGUUUUGCUAGAACUGAGUGUCAUGGUCCAAAUGUAGCAGUAGGACAGGACGAAGUGGUUGAGGCCAAACCUGCACAAAACUAUCCAUCUUGAGCAAUGAGAGGCCAUAGAGAUUAAGUGGUAUCAGCAAGUUGACAAGGCCUCGCUGAUUGCAGUCAACCAAGAGCUCCCUGGUGGUGGCAGGAUGGUUACCCUGUGCAUCGCUAGGGGUCAUCAAAACAGAGAAAAUAUCCAUUUAGUAGUAAAGAGAGAAGUUACGAAAGAAAACUUUUCACACAAAAUCAGAACAUGGAUCCAUAUCAGAGCUAGAAUACUUUUCACAAAUAAUCAGAAUUGCGAUCCAUAUCAGAUCAUGAAAACAUUUUACUGAGUCAAUACCGAUACUGAUAUGAGCCAGUUUUUUAGACUAUAAGAUAUGAACCAGUUUAUAGAAUUGAAAAUCAAGAAACUGCAGUAAUACAGAUUAAAUAUGCAAAUUUCGGCAAUGAACUACUAGGAUCGCUUAAACUGGAAUUUCAAAUAACAUAUACAGAGGCACUAUAGUUCCAUUACGACAUAAUCAUAUUCUCACAAUCCGAGCCGAAAAUAGUACUCAUGUGAUGAGAAGAAACGUUGUAGGUAGAGAGGUCAGUGAAGACAUAGAUCGAGGUGGGUGUGGCCGGCGAUGAUGUAGCAACAAGGUCGCCCACUACAGAGACAUCAAUGAGUGAUAGUGCUUAGGAGGGAGGAGGUGGCCACCACUACUCACCUUCUCUAGCUCAUCAUCGUCAUCAUCAAUAUUAUUGUUCUGCUGAAGCUAACCUUCGCAUAAGAAAUCCUUGUGUAGCAUCCGAGUUUGGACCUUGGAUAUAUGCUAAGGUGCCAAGCCUAAAUCAUGUUAACCAGUGUCUAGAUUAAUCAUUUUGAACUAGUGUUUGCUCAAAACAAAGGAAACAACCAAUGUGACAUAUCUUAUAAUUAUUGAAAAGUAAGGCAAUAUAUUUAAGGGAAAUGUUUCCCAUGUUCUAUAUUCAAAAAAAUAUAGAAUAUUGGUCUAAUAUGAUUUAAAAUCGCCAAAUCACAAGAACUAAAAUAUCAUUGAAAUGAACAGGGUUACAUGUACAUGAUCUGUAAUAUUUCAUCGUACAUAAUCUUCACUUCUCUCAUCUUCUUCAUCAGGCAAUGGGCCAAUGCAUUAUUUCAUCGUCGCUGUCGGCUGUCACAAGAGGCUAACAUGCAAUCAGGCACACAAAUGUUGAAAAGCGUGAGUGUGCAGAGAAGAGGAUGAGAUGCACAUGCCUUGCCAUGCUCGCGGACCAACUGUAGAUGUAACUAUCCUCUAUCCAAUGCUGCAGGUCCCAGAUUCAAAGCGUCCUCCUCGCUGGGCCAGCAGACGGCUGUGCCGGGGUAGCCGAACCGCUACAGGUCGCGACCUAGGGAGGCGGUGGUGCCGUGCUUUCUCAUACACAACGGAGUGGGGUGGCAGCGGCUGGCCCCCUUUGCCGCGGCAGGUGCGGCGCAUGGUGCUACGACGCGAGUGAGAGGAGGAGGAGAUGGGCGGGUGGCCGGUGCGGUGGUUGCUGCGGGAGAGAUGGGCCGCCGUUGGGUGGUCACGGACUCGCGGGAGGGAGCCAGGGAGGGACGCCGGGUAGUUCGAGAUUGGGAGAGAGGUCUGGAGAUGGAGAUGGAGAUUGGGUCAGGGAGAAGGUGGAGGACGUGGGUUCUGCCCUGUUUUUGCGUCGGUGUGGUGCGCGAUGUUUUCGCCAGAUUUUUUUUCGUGCGUGCUAUCGUACGAGGGGAGGAAAG